UAUUGCAGAAAGUGAUGUUACAUCCAAAAGGCGUUUUUUUUAUGGUCUUCCAAGAGCAUUGAAAUUUUCUAGAGCCGCUGUCGGGAGGACAUAGUUUAUUUGGAUGCUACAGGAAGUAUCAUGAAAAAAAGAAAGUGUUUGCCUCCUUUCUGUAUUUACGAACUUGUAGUAAGGAAUCCAUGGAAAACAUGCUCUCCCCUACCAGUGGCUACAUAUUUAACAUGUGACCAUACCACUGCCUCGGUCACAUAUUUUCUGGAAGCAUUUCUGACUGACUGACCUUUGGGCGCAAAGCCUUGCGUUCAGCUGUAAUGCUUACGUGUGAUGGAUCUAUGGUCCUAAUGCAAGCUAUCUGUUUAGCUUUUGCAAAAAAAAAUCUGUCUGACACAAUAAAUCAUAAUUAUAACAUCACUUCGGGGAAAGGAAACAAGGAAGACUUCGAGGUUCCAAUUCUUCACAGAUGCCUUAGUUAUGUUAUGAAGAAUGCCAAGGAGAUCUGUAAAAAGUAUGCACCAAAGAACUACCAUCUUGCAAUUCACACUGUUGGAGUCUUCACUACUGCAACGUCCUUAAAAGACCUCAGUGACAUGGUUCGAAGUGCUGUUCGAAGUUAUAGAUGCAGAAAGCCAAUGUUGAUGUUGAUGGCAAUGCCAGAAACUCAAAAGCUGAUGAGGACCUAAAGGUUUGAUUCAGCUGGCGCCAGUGGGAUAGCCGCAUGAGUGAAGAUGGUGAAUGUUUGGGUUUAGUGCGAACAACUGCAUCCAAUUUUUGCAGUUGGUAUAAUGUCCAUCACUGGUCACCAAUUAUCUCAGUUCCCAUUGUUCUUCUCCAAGAUGUUAUCCAUAUUGCAGAGCCAUGAGCUUCUCCGAGAUCUUAUCCAUACUGCGUUCAAAACACAGUCUGAGUACUCACAGCCCUGCCAAUCGUCUAUCAAGUCGGCCAGCCUUAUGGGAUUUUGAACAGCUGUAGCAGCUUCUUGUUCUUCGAUAAGCCAGGUCCAAGCCAGCUCCAAUCAGCCCGAACUCUGUUAUCGUGGUUCCUAAUACAUAGAUAGAUGUCGUUCAAUGUCCUCCAUCGAGUGUCGUUAGACGAUGCAACCGACCAUCGAGUAUCCGGCAGCAAACGUCUCUGCAGGACAAUUGGAUCAAAUCCAUAUUUCUUUAGGCUUUAGAGGACAAGACUGAGAAACUCUUUGAGGGUUAGAGUUAGACAAGACUAGACAAACACAUAGAAGCAGCAGGGAAGCCAAGGGAGGGAGAGGGGGAAAGAUGCAUCCACCUCCUCCGAGAGCCAAAAUAGAU